CCUACGGGGGGCAGCAGUGGGGAAUUUUGGACAAUGGGGGCAACCCUGAUCCAGCAAUGCCGCGUGUGUGAAGAAGGCCUUCGGGUUGUAAAGCACUUUUGUCCGGGAAGAAAUCGCACCUGAUAAUACCGGGUGUGGAUGACGGUACCGGAAGAAUAAGGACCGGCUAACUACGUGCCAGCAGCCGCGGUAAUACGUAGGGUCCAAGCGUUAAUCGGAGUUACUGGGCGCGAAGCGUGCGCAGCGGGUUGAAAUCCCCGGGCUUAACCUGGGAAUUGCAUUGGUGACUGCACGGCUAGAGUGUGUCAGAGGGGGGUAGAAUUCCACGUGUAGCAGUGAAAUGCGUAGAGAUGUGGAGGAAUACCGAUGGCGAAGGCAGCCCCCUGGGAUAACACUGACGCUCAUGCACGAAAGCGUGGGGAGCAAACAGGAUUAGAUACCCUGGUAGUC
rnacentral:rRNA from 1 species